rnacentral:lncRNA from 1 species
GUCACGAUCGAACACUGUUCUCGCCGUGAAGAAGCUCUGGAGAUCCGCCGCCGAUAUUGAGGAUGGAAACACCGGAGAUUUCGUUGGCGAAGUAAACCUUCUGGGAAAAUUGAGACACAGGAACAUCGUGAGGCUCCUUGGGUUCCUAUACAACGACAAAAACAUGAUGAUUGUAUACGAAUUCAUGCUUAACGGGAACCUCGGCGACGCGAUUCACGGGAAAAACGCCGCCGGGAGGCUGCUCGUCGAUUGGGUCUCGCGUUACAACAUCGCGCUUGGUGUCGCUCACGGCCUCGCUUACCUCCACCAUGAUUGUCAUCCUCC